GCUUUCUAAAAUCUCUUUAGGGGUGUGCGUAGGCUCCUGUGUCUAUGCCUGCUUUUGACUGCCCAGUUGAAGCCUCUUCCUAUGCCUUUUAAAAUUUCACGCACUAUAAGGAGGAAGAGCUCAGGGCUCCCAAAACUUUUUAUUUAGAGGGAAGAAUGCUAGGGAGAUGGGUAUGCAGAGGGUUGACCAAAUUGGAAGAAAAUAUUUAUUCUGUAGUUUGGUGUUGGAAAAGGGAAUUUUCCAAUCAGCCACACCUCAGUGUUGCGGCAAAAUAAUUCUUGGCUCCCCUGGAAACGCAUGGGCAAGGUAGGGCAGAGCUGCUGCUGCUGAUACUGCCACCACCCUGGGCUUCCUGCUGACUCUGGGCUACUCCCUGGGGACAACAGAUUUGCAUUGACGUCCGGGGCUGUCCAGAGGCCCUCAAGAGCCAGUUGUGAGCUGAGCCCAGUAUGGGAAAGAUCUACCUUCUGGAAGCUACUACUACGUGGUGCUUGGAAAGAUGACUCAGUGUAUCGGGAGCCGGGAGAUGGAGCUCUCAGCAGAGUGGCCAGGAUGUUCUGUCAACAUGAAAGCUACAAAAACAGCUCGGGGCUCUGAGCUGAUCCUUAGCCUGGGGUCAUUUUCAGGGAGGGCUGGACAGAGAAGGCGGCCACCGCCCGGGCAUCAGGAUGGGAGCGACACCAGAGGACUCAGGAGAGUGCAGCUUGCUCUGUGAGUGGGUGACAACCUCUUGGCGACUCAGGCUCAGCUGAGGAUGGUGCCAGUGUGCCGGAGACAGCCGUCAUACUGCCGGAUAGAGUGGCUCACUUGCAUGUAUUUGGAACAAAAAAAGGAGAUGCCUGGCAGCCCCGCUCUCUGCAGUGCUGUUGAGCCACCAAUUUUUGUGGUUUUGUGACCACAAGUGCUGACUGAUGCGACAUGACCCCAGUCUUGUCAGUGAAUCAUCACCAGGCUGCUUACUGGAAACUGGAUGCAGCAAGGAAAUAGGAUUUAACCGCUCUCUGCCUCCCAGGUAAGUCCAGUGUGGGCUGCUCCCUCCAGCCUUCCCCCAUCCUCCUUCCUUCCCACGAACACCAUUUUCCUUAUUCCGCCGGGGAAUCCUCAGACGUCUCCAUUCAGAAUCUCCCAAACGAUUGUUCUCUUUUUUGCAUUCUUCUCCUUCUGGCUUUUCUGUGUGGGGUUAGUAACCAGCACAGGGUUGGGGGCAGAAUGGGCAGCUGAAGUGGUCGGGCUGUGCGGACGUGUGGGAGAUAGCUGGGUAGUGUUGCUGGGUGUGGCAGUUGGCAGAGCAUUUGGGCCUCCCACAGUAAUAGAAACUCUCUUUGGCUCCAGCAUCCAGCAGGAGGUUCUGGGUUUAACCCCUCGGUAAUCCUGGGAGCCUUCCUGGUGCCUGGGGAUUCUCUCCCCUGUGUAGUCUCAGUGGAUGGCCUGUCUUAACUCUAGAUACAUUUUGCCUUGAGGGGGCUUAGUCUAGGUUGGUGGUCUGGAGUUUGGACUGGGCUGAGCAGUGAGCUUUGGGACUCUCCCUAAUUUUGGGGUUUCUUUGAAUGAGCCACUUUCUUCCUCUAGGCCUUCAUUACCUUUGCCUUAAAAAACAAAAUCCCUGGUCCAGUAAGCCAUUGCAAAGCAUCUCUAGGAAGUUGACAAAGAAAUGCUUUUCUUCUGCCUCACUUGCUGCCGAUCACAGUAAUAGCAAUGGUGAUUAAAAAUGAAAAAUGAUGACGGCCUGCAGAAUCAGGGAGGUCAGUGGCAUCAUUGAUACAAUUCACAAAGCAGACUCUCGGUGCCCACACAUCACUAGGAAGUCUCUCUCCUAUCGAGUAGAUGACUACAGCAUUCUUGGCCAGUAAAGCCAGUUGGAAUUAGCCAACAGCAGAUUGGUCUGGGCUCUAAAGAUAAAAGGAAUUAUGUUGGGUAAUUUUCGGAGGUACCUAUGGGAUCCUACCUCUGGCCACACAGUGGUCGCCUCUCUCUGCUCAUAUGUUUCGGUGGGGGUGGGGGGUUCCUCUUCCCCAUG
ensembl:lncRNA MIR29B2CHG MIR29B2 and MIR29C host gene